rnacentral:lncRNA from 1 species
AGUCACAGAGAAAUCCUGACAGAAAUGCAGCCCUGGAGGAUGGAGCGGCCCUGUUCUUUGGGGUUCCUGGCUCCUGUCCUCAUGGCGUGCAGUGCCAUGGGCAGGCUGAGGCUGAGUGUGCUAGGAAGCAGAGACUAUACAAACUAGGAACCGUGAGAAGAGCUGACUGGGAAUGGGUGCCAAGCUCAAUCACAGCACCGGGAGAGGACGACGGAAUCUGCUCCUGCCCCGGCUCUGCUGUUCUCAGACAGCAGACAGGGUACACACUUGCUGCCUCAUGCCCAGGGGGCCCUCAAGCUGUGGAGUGGCUGUCUACCUUCUUGGAUCUCCUGUACUUCGGUCGUCCCCGUUUUCCAUGGGAGCUCCUCGUUCCUGGAAUGGCUGGUUGGUGUCCCCUCUUGGGCACACUUCUGAUUUUAUAAACGACAGGUGCUGCCGGCCCAGUGCUUCGGUCCCUCCAUCUGGCUUAGCCUCUAUUACACUAGCAGAGUAUCUCUGUGAUCAAAAUACAUGGCCCAAACUUACUGUGAUUUAAACUCUGCAAAAGUACAUUUUGGAGUUUCGCAUUUAAGUUUUUAAAACUUAAACUCUGCUUGAAGCAAAAUUAACUUUUCUCAAUUUAAAAUUAAAUAAGGAUCCAGACAUGGUGGCAUGUACCUUUAAUUGCACCAUUGGAGGAACAUGAGUUUCUGGCUAGCCUGGGCUACACAGUAAGACCCAUCACCAAACAAAAUGCAAAAAAGGAGCAAACAACAACCUAAUAAAGGCAAACCAGUAGCAGAAUGCAAAGGCCUGUCUGGAAGGACCACUGACAUAUACGAAGAGGAGGCACGCUCAAAUAAAAAACUAUGUGAAAAAA